UACGUAGGGUGCGAGCGUUGUCCGGAAUUACUGGGCGUAAAGGGCGCGUAGGCGGCCUACUAAGUCGGACGUGAAAUCCCUCGGCUCAACCGAGGAACUGCGUCCGGUACUGGCAGGCUGGAAUCCGGGAGAGGGAUGUGGAAUUCCAGGUGUAGCGGUGAAAUGCGUAGAUAUCUGGAGGAACACCGGUGGCGAAGGCGGCAUCCUGGACCGGUAUUGACGCUGAGGCGCGAAAGCUAGGGGAGCAAACGGG
rnacentral:rRNA from 1 species